rnacentral:misc_RNA from 1 species
AUAUGAUGGAUUUCUAGCUCAGGUAUUUUUUCCUUGAAUAUUACUAUUAAUAUUACUUUCUGGUCACACGAAUUGAUAUUGGGCAAAUGAAAUUGUAUUGACUUGUUACUUUCUUUGGUUGAAAAAAAAAAUUAUUGUAAUGUAAUGUGAAUUAUUAGGCCAAUUAACAAUUGAUGACACACAAUAAAUCUUAAAUGGGUAGAUGGAGUGAUUUGAAUUCGAAACAAGUGGGUGGAAAAAGGGCAAUCAAGCUACUGCUUAUUUGCUUACCACUACUCUGUGUGUGUGUGUGUGUGUUUUUAAUAAUACCACUACUUUAGUUAAUAUAAAUAUAUAAUGCUCAUUAUACAUAAAAAUAUAUAAUUUAUUGUUAUUACUUCAUAUGUUUGGUUGCUUUUUUUACUUCCAUCACUCCACCACUAGAGGUGUGAGAUUUCAGUUCUGGUUUGAGGUCUGUUUAGGAAAUCUGGUACGGUUUGGUUAUUCAAUGUUUGAGUUCCGGUUCUAGUUCAAUAUUGUUUUGAUUCAGGUUUUGCUUUUUGAACAAUUUUUAAAAGUGGUAUUUAAGCAUUAAAGUUAGUUAUUAAUACACAAAAUAUCAUAUAAUAUAUUUUUUAGCUAUUUUUAAAUAAUAUAAUAUUAAACUAUAAGGUAGAUAUAUAAUUAUACAAUCUUUAACUAUAAGAUACAUAU